AACGAACGCUGGCGGCGUGCCUUACACAUGCAAGUCGAACGGCAGCACGGGGGCAACCCUGGUGGCGAGUGGCGAACGGGUGAGUAACAUAUCGGAACGUGCCCUGGAGUGGGGGAUAACUAGUCGAAAGACUAGCUAAUACCGCAUACGAUCUACGGAUGAAAGUGGGGGAUCGCAAGACCUCAUGCUCGUGGAGCGGCCGAUAUCUGAUUAGCUAGUUGGGGGGUAAAGGCUUACCAAGGCAUCGAUCAGUAGCUGGUCUGAGAGGACGACCAGCCACACUGGGACUGAGACACGGCCCAGACUCCUACGGAGGCAGCAGUGGGGAAUUUUGGACAAUGGGGGCAACCCUGAUCCAGCCAUGCCGCGUGCGGGAAGAAGG
rnacentral:rRNA from 1 species